CCUACGGGUGGCAGCAGUGAGGAAUAUUGGUCAAUGGACGCAAGUCUGAACCAGCCAUGCCGCGUGAAGGAAGACGGCUCUAUGAGUUGUAAACUGCUUUUGUACGAGGGUAAACGCAGGUACGCGUAUCUGUCUGAAAGUAUCGUACGAAUAAGGAUCGGCUAACUCCGUGCCAGCAGCCGCGGUAAUACGGAGGAUUCGAGCGUUAUCCGGAUUUAUUGGGUUUAAAGGGUUCGUAGGCGGUCGGAUAAGUUAGAGGUGAAAUCCCGAGGCUCAACUUCGGAAGUGCCGCUGAUACUGUUCGGCUAGAGAGUACUUGCGGUAGGCGGAAUGUGUGGUGUAGCGGUGAAAUGCAUAGAGAUCAUACAGAACACCGAUUGCGAAGGCAGCUUACCAGGCCACUUCUGACGUUGAGGCACGAAAGCGUGGGGAUCAAACAGGAUUAGAUACCCUUGUAGUC
rnacentral:rRNA from 1 species